AUGGGUGUGAUGAAAUUUUGGUAAACAUGGUAACCUUAGGAGUUAUUGGUGAAAACCUUGUGAGUUCGAGUCUCGCCACCCGUA
rfam:Dactylellina haptotyla CBS 200.50 unplaced genomic scaffold scaffold00324, whole genome shotgun sequence.